rnacentral:rRNA from 1 species
GCCAGAGGAGGCGAUCGUUAUCCGGAGUCAUUGGGCGUAAAGGGUACGUAGGCGGCUAGUCAAGUCUGAGGUUAAAGACCACAGCUUAACUGUGGGAAGGCCUUGGAAACUGACUGGCUAGAGUGGGGCAGGGGUUGCGGGAAUUCCCGGUGUAGCGGUGAAAUGCGUAGAUAUCGGGAAGAACACCUGAGGCGAAAGCGCGCAACUGGGCCCUAACUGACGCUGAGGUACGAAAGCUAGGGGAGGGAAUGGG